UCCACUUCUGUGCCCAUGAUUCUUCAGAGG
rnacentral:piRNA from 1 species